ACUUCUAAAAAGGAGACAUACAUGUGGCCAACAAACAUAUGAAAAAAAAACCCAACAUCACUGAUUAUUAGAGAAAUGCAAAUCAAAACCACAAUGGGAUACCGGAAAAAAGGGAGAAGACACAAAUAAAUAAAAUCAGAAAUGAAAAAGGAGACAUUACAGGCAGUAUCACAGAAAUUCAAAGAAUCAUUAGAGGCUACCAAAAGUUACUAAAUUUAUCAGCCACUAAAUUGGAAAAUCUAGAUGAAAUGGAUAAAUUCCUAGACACAUACAACCUACUAAGACUGAACCAUGAAGAAAUCCAAGACCUGAACAGACCAAUAACAAGUAACAAAAUUGAAGACAUAAUAAAAAGUCUCCCAGCAAAGAAAAUGUUAGGCCGUGAUGGUUUCACUACUGCAUUUUACC
rnacentral:lncRNA from 1 species